GUGAGGAAUAUUGGUCAAUGGGCGGGAGCCUGAACCAGCCAAGUCGCGUGAAGGAAGAAGGAUCUAUGGUUCGUAAACUUCUUUUGCAGGGGAAUAAAGUGCAGGACGUGUCCUGUUUUGUAUGUACCCUGAGAAUAAGGAUCGGCUAACUCCGUGCCAGCAGCCGCGGUAAUACGGAGGAUCCGAGCGUUAUCCGGAUUUAUUGGGUUUAAAGGGUGCGUAGGUGGUUUGAUAAGUCAGCGGUGAAAGUUUGCAGCUUAACUGUAAAAAUGCCGUUGAAACUGUCGGACUUGAGUGUAAAUGAGGUAGGCGGAAUGCGUGGUGUAGCGGUGAAAUGCUUAGAUAUCACGCAGAACUCCGAUUGCGAAGGCAGCUUACUAAGCUACAACUGACACUGAAGCACGAAAGCGUGGGGAUCAAACAGGAUUAGAUACCCGGGUAGUCC
rnacentral:rRNA from 1 species